rnacentral:rRNA from 1 species
CCUACGGGAGGCAGCAGUGGGGAAUAUUGGGCAAUGGGCGCAAGCCUGACCCAGCAACGCCGCGUGAAGGAAGAAGGCUUUCGGGUUGUAAACUUCUUUUCUCAGGGACGAAGCAAGUGACGGUACCUGAGGAAUAAGCCACGGCUAACUACGUGCCAGCAGCCGCGGUAAUACGUAGGUGGCAAGCGUUAUCCGGAUUUACUGGGUGUAAAGGGCGUGUAGGCGGGAAAGCAAGUCAGAUGUGAAAACCAUGGGCUCAACCUGUGGCCUGCAUUUGAAACUGGUUUUCUUGAGUACUGGAGAGGCAGACGGAAUUCCUAGUGUAGCGGUGAAAUGCGUAGAGAUUAGGAGGAACACCAGUGGCGAAGGCGGUCUGCUGGACAGCAACUGACGCUGAGGCGCGAAAGCGUGGGGAGCAAACAGGAUUAGAUACCCUUGUAGUC